UACGAGGGGGGCGAGCGUUGUUCGGAAUUAUUGGGCGUAAAGGGUGCGUAGGCGGUUCCGCAAGUCCUGUGUGAAAACUCGAGGCUCAACCUCGAGACGUCGGUUGAAACCGUCUGGCUAGAGUCCGGAAGAGGAGAGUGGAAUUCCCGGUGUAGCGGUGAAAUGCGCAGAUAUCGGGAAGAACACCCGUGGCGAAGGCGGCUCUCUGGGACGGUACUGACGCUGAGACGCGAAAGCGUGGGGAGCGAACAGG
rnacentral:rRNA from 1 species